UCCCGUGUUGCUCAGUCGGUAGAGCAUGAUGCUUGCAACACCAAGGUUGUGGGUUUGAUUCCCACUGGGAC
rnacentral:tRNA from 1 species